AGGAUGAACGCUAGCUACAGGCUUAACACAUGCAAGUCGAGGGGCAGCAUGGUCUUAGCUUGCUAAGGCCGAUGGCGACCGGCGCACGGGUGAGUAACACGUAUCCAACCUGCCGUCUACUCUUGGACAGCCUUCUGAAAGGAAGAUUAAUACAAGAUGGCAUCAUGAGUCCGCAUGUUCACAUGAUUAAAGGUAUUCCGGUAGACGAUGGGGAUGCGUUCCAUUAGAUAGUAGGCGGGGUAACGGCCCACCUAGUCUUCGAUGGAUAGGGGUUCUGAGAGGAAGGUCCCCCACAUUGGAACUGAGACACGGUCCAAACUCCUACGGGAGGCAGCAGUGAGGAAUAUUGGUCAAUGGGCGAGAGCCUGAACCAGCCAAGUAGCGUGAAGGAUGACUGCCCUAUGGGUUGUAAACUUCUUUUAUAAAGGAAUAAAGUCGGGUAUGCAUACCCGUUUGCAUGUACUUUAUGAAUAAGGAUCGGCUAACUCCGUGCCAGCAGCCGCGGUAAUACGGAGGAUCCGAGCGUUAUCCGGAUUUAUUGGGUUUAAAGGGAGCGUAGAUGGAUGUUUAAGUCAGUUGUGAAAGUUUGCGGCUCAACCGUAAAAUUGCAGUUGAUACUGGAUAUCUUGAGUGCAGUUGAGGCAGGCGGAAUUCGUGGUGUAGCGGUGAAAUGCUUAGAUAUCACGAAGAACUCCGAUUGCGAAGGCAGCCUGCUAAGCUGCAACUGACAUUGAGGCUCGAAAGUGUGGGUAUCAAACAGGAUUAGAUACCCUGGUAGUCCACACGGUAAACGAUGAAUACUCGCUGUUUGCGAUAUACGGCAAGCGGCCAAGCGAAAGCGUUAAGUAUUCCACCUGGGGAGUACGCCGGCAACGGUGAAACUCAAAGGAAUUGACGGGGGCCCGCACAAGCGGAGGAACAUGUGGUUUAAUUCGAUGAUACGCGAGGAACCUUACCCGGGCUUAAAUUGCAGAUGAAUUACGGUGAAAGCCGUAAGCCGCAAGGCAUCUGUGAAGGUGCUGCAUGGUUGUCGUCAGCUCGUGCCGUGAGGUGUCGGCUUAAGUGCCAUAACGAGCGCAACCCUUGUUGUCAGUUACUAACAGGUUCCGCUGAGGACUCUGACAAGACUGCCAUCGUAAGAUGUGAGGAAGGUGGGGAUGACGUCAAAUCAGCACGGCCCUUACGUCCGGGGCUACACACGUGUUACAAUGGGGGGUACAGAGGGCCGCUACCACGCGAGUGGAUGCCAAUCCCAAAAACCUCUCUCAGUUCGGACUGGAGUCUGCAACCCGACUCCACGAAGCUGGAUUCGCUAGUAAUCGCGCAUCAGCCACGGCGCGGUGAAUACGUUCCCGGGCCUUGUACACACCGCCCGUCAAGCCAUGGGAGCCGGGGGUACCUGAAGUGCGUAACCGCGAGGAGCGCCCUAGGGUA
rnacentral:rRNA from 1 species